UUUAAGAGUGAUUUCGGAGGGCAAAUAGUAUUUGAUCUCAAUCAGUUCUGAUUGUGUUUGUUUUGUUUGUGAAGUUAAUCUAGGUAUAUUAGAUUGUGCUCCACUUAUUUAUUUGGGUGAGUUGAAGCAUCCUUUCCAAGUUUGACUAAAUGGUUGGUUGUCUCUGCAAAAGGUUUACAUGCUCAGGGUGAGGAACAAGCACUAUGUUACGGUUAAGUUUUUUGAUAUAAGUUUUGAUGAUUACUCUCCGGAGGAGGAUCAAGGCCUAGACUACAAAACUGUAUGGUCUAAACAAUGCUGAAAUUUUCAGUAGAUACAAUUUGCUGGUUUAAGAGAGUUUGGCUAGAGCUGUAAGUUAAGGAGAAAUUGAAUUAUGUGUGACAGUAACACUACCUGUUAGUCAUUUCAAUAUGACUUCAGAGACUAAUAUGUUACCGUCACAAUUUGCUGGUUUAAGAGAGUUUGGUAGGAGUUGUAAGAAAAGAAAUUGAAAAUGAAGUAUAUGUGACAGUAACACUACCUAUUGGUUAUAUCCAAUAUGAUCUCACUGACUAAUAUUUACUUUUUUUGGUGGCAUUUAGGGAUCAUUAGAAUUUUUCUGAAAAAUCCAGCAUGAAACCAUGUAGCUUUAUGGUUUGGCCAUAGGAAAGUAAUGAUAACUUUGUAGAAUACAUAGUAGAGCAUAUUAACUUUGUGGCAUGUGUAUAUAGAGUUUAGAGCAUCUAUUUUGUCAACUUUAUUACAAUACAAUGAUGUAGUGGUGUUGGUGGUGAAUAUGAGUUUAGCAUGGGUGGUUAUGUAAGAAGGAUUUGGUUCUAGGAAGACUGAAGCCAAAAAUAUGUAAAAGUGUGGUAGGAUUGACAUCUUAUAGUAUAAUCAAUGGUGUGGAUUGUGGAGUAAUUGCAGAUUUAUUUGGAGGGUGAUUGCUUUUGUGGCUAAAUGUCAAUUGGACAAGAGGUUAUGCAGGAGGCAACAUAGCAAGGCUUCUAUUGGAUUAUUUAAGGAAAAACAGCAACUACAGAAUUCAAUUCAAUUUUCAGUUUCUAUUUUCCAUCCUACCUGAUCUGCUGUUUUUGAAGAGUGAUUGAAAUUGUACAACUUUGAAAUCUGAAAGUGUAAUGUUUUUUAUACAAAGUUGAUUAUCUCUUAGAUUUUAGUUAAUAUUCCA